rnacentral:lncRNA from 1 species
UAAAAAUAAAUAUCAAUUAAAAAUAAAUAUCAAUUAAAAAUAAAUAUCAAAUAAAAAUAAAUAUCAAAUAAAAAUAAAUAUCAAACAAAAAUAAAUAUUAAAUAAAAAUAAAUAUAAAAUAAAAAUUAAAAUAAAUAAAUAUCAAAUAAAAAUAAAUAUCAAAUAAAAAUAAAUAUCAAAUAAAAUAAAAAUAAAUAAAUAUCAAAUAAAUAUCAAAUAAAAAUAAAAAAUAAAAAUAAAAAAUCCCAUUUUGGGAUUCACAAACUCCAGGGGAGGGGAGGAAGAUCCAAAAUUCCCAAAGAAGAAAAAAAUUCCCAAAGGAAAAAAAAAAUUCCCAAAGAAUAAAAAAUUCCCAAAGGAAAAAAAAAAUUCCCAAAGAAUAAAAAAUUCCCAAAGAAAAAAAUUCCCAAAGAAAAAAAUUCCCCAAAGAAUAAAAAAUUCCCAAAAAAAUUCCCGAAGGAAAAAAUUCCCAAAGGAAAAAAUUCCCGAAGGUUUUCCGUGGACAAGGAUUUUAAAAAAAUAUCUUUGAAACCAUCUGAGCUUAAAAAUAGACGCGAGUGAAGCUUAAAAUCCCACCCGGAGACGCCGGGAGAGCUCCGGACGAGUCCCUGGAGCGGCUCCGGAGCUUCCCCCGCUUCUGGAUGGUUCUGGAAGCCUUGGGGUGGAUCCAGAGGGGUCCUGGGAGAAGUUCUGGAGGUUCUGGAGAAGUUCUGGAGGUUCUGGAGGCCGUGGGAUGGAUCCAGAGGGGUCCUGGCAGCGGUUCUGGAGGUUCCUGGUGGUUCUGGAGAAGUUCUGGAGGUUCUGGAGAAGUUCCG